rnacentral:rRNA from 1 species
AUGUGGUUGCGGGUGAUGUCGCUGAGCUUGGUGCACCCGCCGAGCGCCAUGGUGAGCUCGAACUCCUCCCGCAUCAUGCGCAGCACGUUCCGCACUCCGGCCUCGCCCUCCGCCGCCAGCGCGAACACCACCGGCCGCCCGAUCUGCAAACAGGUCGAUCGGUGGCUUACGAAGACGCCGGAGGCGCCGAGAGCGAGCGCCUUGAAGACGUCGGUGCCGCGGCGGACGCCUCCGUCGAGGUACACCGGGAUGCGCCCCUGGGCGGCCGUGACGACCUCCUCGAGGGCGCUGAUGGUGGCCGGCACGUAG